rnacentral:misc_RNA from 1 species
UUGGAAGAGAAUUAUGAGAUUCGGUAGAAAGGGGAAACUGAGUCCUCGUCUCAUUGGGCCGUAUGAAGAUCUGGAAAGAGUGCGUCCUUUGGCAUACCGAUUGGCACUACCUCCAGAGUUGAAAAAGAUACAUUUGUGUCUUUCACGUAUCCAUGUUGAGGAGGUAUGGAUCCGACCCAUCUCAUGUUCUACCUGUUGAAGAGAUUGAGGUAAAUCCAGACCUCUCAUAUGAGGAAGAACCCAUAAAAAUUCUGGCAUAUGAGGUGAAGCAGCUGAGGAACAAACAGAUACACCUGGUUAAAGUGCUGUGGAACCAUCAUUCAGGCCAGGAAGUUACUUGGGCGCACGAGGAGGAUAUGAGGAGGCAGCACCCACAACUGUUUAGAGGUUCAUACCAGGUAA